GACGAACGCUGGCGGCGUGCUUAACACAUGCAAGUCGAACGGAAAGGGCCUGCUUUUGUGGGGUGCUCGAGUGGCGAACGGGUGAGUAACACGUGAGUAACCUGCCCUUGACUUUGGGAUAACUUCAGGAAACUGGGGCUAAUACCGUAUAGGAGCUCCUGCUUCAUGGUGGGGGUGGGAAAGUUUCGGCGGUUGGGGAUGGACUCGCGGCUUAUCAGCUUGUUGGUGGGGUAGUGGCUUACCAAGGCUUUGACGGGUAGCCGGCCUGAGAGGGUGACCGGCCACAUUGGGACUGAGAUACGGACCAGACUCCUACGGGAGGCAGCAGUGGGGAAUAUUGCACAAUGGGCGGAAGCCUGAUGCAGCAACGCCGCGUGCGGGAUGACGGCCUUCGGGUUGUAAACCGCUUUCGCCUGUGACGAAGCGUGAGUGACGGUAAUGGGUAAAGAAGCACCGGCUAACUACGUG
rnacentral:rRNA from 1 species